CUGGGGCAGACUUUCUCCAACUCUUCCCACACAGAGAGAAAAGCACCCUUUGGUUCUCAGCAGAGCACAGAACAGUGCCCCUGGAUUCCCAGCCCUGAGUUGCCUUCACGCUGGGAAGUCUGCCUGAGAGUGAACUUCAAGUUCAAGGGGUCCUCAAGCCCACCCUGACCGGCGCUGACCAGCCUCUGCCUGUCCCUCCCCUGUCACCUGGUGGAGAACUCACUGCCCCUGAGUCUGCUGGGCUGUCCAGAAGAGACUCUAGGGAAGAAGAAGAUAGAGGCUUUCUCGCGACAAAGUCAGGAAUUCCAAGGCAGACCAAGUGGCAAUGACUCACUCAGAGGGCCUCAGCAAUUCAGGGGAGGAAGACCAGAGGUUAGUCAGAGAAGGCUGCCUGGAGGAGGUGAGACUGGAAGGAAAAGUGGGAGGGGCCAGAGUUGUAAAGAGGUGGAGGUGAAGGCAUUCUGGGCAGAGGGGAUACUGGGCACACAUGGCACAUACCUAGGCCUUGAGCGGCCAAGGCUGCCUGGAGUAAUGGGGUCAGAGGGUGGCCGAGCUGUGAGGAUCAACUGGCUGAGGGUAGCCUGAGAGUUAGCCUCUGGGCGUGCACGUGUGUGUAGUAGAGAGAUGGGGAACGAACUCUAGUGAGCUAGAGGGAUGUGUCAGAUAAAUAACAGUAACAAUAUAGCUAUGGCAGGUGUGGUGCUAAGUGGCUUCCUAAUAUCUCAUCUAAUCCCAACACUUUUUGAGGUAAGUACUAUUAUCCCCUUCUACGAAUAAACAAUUGAAGCCAAGUUAAGUGACAGUGAGGGCUGACCUUAGAUUCCAACAUGACAGUCUGGCUCCAAAACUCUUAAGUACUGGAUGGAAGGAGGUGGGUGGGGGUGAGUGGUAUGCACAGCAUACAAGUGAGUGAGUGCAAUUGUGUGUGUGUGUGGGGGGGUACCAUUUCCUCACACGUCUGUCCCCCAACCCUAGCUCCACCUCAGGACAGACCCAGCCCAGACAAGUGUGAAGAGAGGACCUUGGAAUGAUAAGAAUUUCCAUGCCUGUUGGAGCAGAUAGCCCCAGACGAGAGUCUGGCCACAAGGCCAGUCAAAGAGCCAAGUUCCCAGAGUCAACAUUGUCCCCACCCCAUCCCUACCCCGUGCUGGCACAUCCCCAAGGGCUCAGGAAUGGUGUCUCAACUUGACCCUGGUAUUCCUUGCUUUGCUGAUCCCACUUUCUUCUCAGCUUCUGAUGCAUACGAACAGCUGGGAGUGGGGAAAGGUGACAAGCGAGGGCUUCCCCAAGUCAUCCUCGCUCGACUAUGUCACUGGUGGUGGAGACAGGUCCCUGCAGCUCCCUGGGCCUUGGUUUCUCCACUUCUGUCAGGAGGUAGAUUGAACUUAAUCAGGAAUCAUAAACUAAGAAAUAGGAGGCCUAGGAGAAUAAUGCAAAUAAACAAAAUGAUGUGCACGCAUGUGUGUGUGUGUGUGUGUGUGUGUGUGUAGUGGUGGUGACAGUGGAGACCUGGGCAGCAAUCCCCAGACCAGGUGAUCUCAACCAUCCCUCCCUGCUUCACCUGGUGGGGGUCUUUCUGGACCUCUGCUGUGGGGCACCAGGACUCUGAGCCUCAGUUUCUUUAGCUAGAAGGUAGGAUGUGUAAUGCCUACCCCAUAGCCCACGCGAGUGGUGAGAAUGAACUAGAAUAAUUGAUGGGAAUCUUGUGGAACAAUCCCACCUCUUUUUUUAAAAAAAAAUUUUUUUUGAAUAAUGUAAUCUUUUGAUUUGAGUGCCAUUAAAAGUAUUUAGCUCCAGAUGAUCGAGUGAAGAAAACUGAAGAAUCAGGAAGUCAGAUGGUGAAGGAGUGGAUGAGAAAUGGUCUGGGAUGAGGGCAAGAUCAGGGCAGAGCUGCUCUGAGUAGCAGCUGAGAGGUUCGAGAAAGUUCAUCCAGAGAUGGCCCUUGGCACUCGUCCCCCUGAUUGCCAGGCUUGAACUGGCCCAGCCCUGCCCUUCUUCAGAAGACUUUGAGCUGGCUGUUGUCACUUCAUUUAGAAACCACACCAUGCUUGUGUGUGUUUUCUUUACCAGGUUGUAAUUGGUGCAUCACAAUGAACGCUGUAAAAAGGGAAAUUAAACGAUUUACAUUUGUUUGCCAAACCCACGAUCUUCUCUGUGUGAGGGU